GCAGAGGCGGGGGGUGCGGUCAGCGGCCUGGGCGCCGGCGGGGGGCUGCACAUCUUCCUUCCGUCCAGCUUCCGUCUGUCCUUCCACCCACCCCACCGGCCGUUCUCUCCCUCCCUCCCUCCCACCUCGAAUGCCUGCUCUGCUGCCCCUGAACCAGGCCCGCUGAGACCUGGCUUCCAGAAACUCAUGGUGGGGUCAGGAAAGAAAGAAGCAAACGGAAGUGACAGAGUGCGGGCGGCCGGCAGCAGGUGCGAGAGGCACAGCUGUCACCAGGAGCGGUCGGGCCUGCUGAUUUUAAAGGGCGUCUUGAGCACUGACCGGCUGGGUGUUCUGGUCAAGGUCUCGUAGCGCCCCUGAAACAGCUUUCUCAUUACAGAGGAGACAAGUUACCCCUGCCCCUCGGGAAUUCUGAGAUGGAGCAGUGAAGGGGCUGAGUCUCUCUUGACCCAUCUCAGGCCCUCUGAUUGCACACUUUGACCCCCCUGAGCCUCUCCCGUGGCUUCCCAUAGCUCAGGAAGAAGCUAGGACUCUUGAACGGGCUCCACAGGCCCAUGUGACAUGCGCCUGGCAGCCCCUCCUCACACUCCGUUCCAGACGCUUCUCUGCCUCUGUGGGCUCCAUCCCGCCUCAGGUUAUUACACACAUGCCUCCCUCUGCCCGAAUGCCCUUCCUCAUCUUCACCUGGCCAGCCCUGGCUCACCCGGCUAGACCUAAGGCUGCAGAACUACAACCGAUGGUUUAUGAAACGCCGUCUCACAUGUCCCCUUCCUACUAGACCUUGAGCUCCUUGAAGAAAGGGCCCCAAUGGUCUCGUUCCUUCAUCAUCUCAAUUCUCUCCUCUGUUGGUGCAACUCACCACCUCAGCUGUGUGACCUUGGACAACUCACUUAAAACCCCUCCAUGCCUGAUUCUUCAUUGGUAAAAUGAGAGAGAAAAAUAACACCUCCUUCGUUAGAUUGUUGUAAGGAUUAAAAGGACAUGAGAAGUACUUAGAACUGGGCCAGGCACAAAGCAGAUGCUCAGUUCACGGCAGCAGCUCUUAACAACAUUAUCGUAUGGGCACACGGAAAUCAGGAGCCUGACAGUAGGCUGCGAGGAAGUUGCCCUGCACAGAGCUGGGUGAUCAUAACCACUGGCUCAUUACAUUGGUAAGAAGUGGGUGUCCAGGGGCCCUAUGUGACCUGGUGGGGGUCCACUCAGCUCUGGGUUUGGAGAAAGGAGUGGUGGUGAGCCAGGAGAGGGCAG